AGUGAAUCGCACAGAGCUGUGUCAAAAGUUCGCCAGUGUUAAAUCAUCCUGCACGAUGUUAUUAGGCUGUUUAAGGACAUCUGUGUGUAAGUAUUAUAUUGUCACAAGGUGUUUCUUCAUGUUAGAUGUUGACAUGAAGUUUCUUAAGUUGUUUAAUGUCUAAAAAGUCGGAGAAAAAUAAGACGCUAAUAGCGCUAGCAUCCCUAUGGGUUUUUCAGUGUAAAUUAGCAUCAUGCUAAUCGCUAGUGAUUUGUGUUUUUAAUGCAGUUUUAGCUUAGCCUGCAUUAAUGAUUGACAUAUAUUUAGCCUAUAUGACUGCUGGAUUUACAGUGAUUAUGUGACUUCUAAGCUUUCUGGUGUUUUUGGAGCAACUGUUAGUGAUCUAGAUAGUUCAAUACAUGAGUGAAGGCAGAAGAGUAGAUAUGAGAAUGAGAAAAUGGUUUCAGUAUCUUAAAUUUGUAGUUAGACAACUUUUGUACUUAAAAUCAUUGUCACUUCUCCUCUCACUUUGUUUUUCAUCAGUGGCUCACCGAGGCCCCGUCCCCCGCUGUGACCCCCCACCAUCCGUCCAGCGACAGGUGAGGAGUCAAAACGUCAUUAGAGAGAGAUGAAGAUGGACGGCGGCAGGAGUGACGCGGCUAAUGUAAGCAUUUACGCCGGGAUUGUUUACAUUCACACGAGGUGUGUGUGUGUUCACACGCUUCAGGUUGAUCUCCCGCGGGGUUUCCCACACCAACUUCACCUAAGAAAGCAAAUAAAGAGUCUGGGCCUGUUAAAACACAACACAAAUAACUACUAACAGAAGAGCUGCUGCUGCUGUCUUCAACAACACACAAACACACAAACAGACGGGAAUGCAAGCCAGUCCGUAAAAACACACAUGUGAUACCUAUUCUUCUAUACUCCCCACACACACACACAAACACACACAAACACACAAGCAACUAAGCAACCCAAAGGUAGCAAACAGACUAAUGUUGACACCCUGAAUAGUUUAAAUACUGCUAUAGGACAGGCUUAAAACACACCUGCUGCAGAUUAACAUAUACCACACACACACACACACACACACAGUAAUUUGAAUGCCGAUACAAACAGUUGAAUAAACAUCACCUGCGCUGUGUUUCCAGAUCAAGACACUCAUCCAAACACCUGUACACCCACCUUUAUUAGAGCCCUCAACAACAACUAUUUCACUUUACCACACACACACACACACACACAAAGACACACACAAACACACUCAUAAAUAAACACACUCUGCAGCAGCCAGCUGCUUUGCUCAAGGACACUUUAAAAGAUAAUAAGAGGUCUUUAUGAUCAAACCUGAGCAGCAGGAGUUUAUCCUCAGACUCCAACUCUGCAGCAAACAAACAGAACAUAUAGAUGUGAGUUAUAAACACUGAUGUUUAUGAGGUUAUUUGCAUUAUUGAUCAUUGAUUUCCGGAUGUCAAAAUGAAUCAAUAACAUGAAUUUAGCUCUGAUUUUCUCACUGAAAAAGAGAAAAAGCCUAUUUGGGUUGGAGGGUGUUUCACUUUGAGGACUCUCAUACAGGAGACUCAAGCUCUUAAAACCACAUUUUUCUACUUUGAUCAAGCCGAGGAGCAACUUCACAAGUAAGGGGCCCCAGUUACUGGACCAGGACUCGUGCAUUACCUGCUCCACCUCAGUCCAAGUCUCAAAGCCUGUUGUGUUACUGAUAUUCAAACACAAAAUACCCAUGAAGUUUUGCAGCUCUGUGCAGUUUUCUUAUGAGCAUCUGUAUUUUCUGCUGCACAGAGCUGCACUGUGCACUCUCAUCCUCAAAUCUGUGCGCAAACAGACGAUGAGCUGGAUCAGUGGUCCCAGAAUCUCAGAGGUCCUCUGCUCAAUGUCACGGUUUUUACCAUGUCUUGAGUAUCUUUUAGACUCAUCUGCAGAGGUUUAGAGGAUGCAACUACUUAAAGCAGGGCAACAUGUAGUUUCGGGGCCUCAUGUUCGUGUUGAUACAGGGUCUAUUUUAGGAAACAGUUCUCUAUAAAGGGGUAAAAACUCUGAGGGUCUAUGACGAAAGUAUCACAUGAUGGAAAUACAGCGAUGUUAGCUCUCACUGGACCUGCCUGAUCAAAACUCUUUGAGUCUUUUGUUUAUUUGAACGAUGAAAACUGAAAUGUUUCUCAAUGAGGGAUUUGUCGAGGGAAGUUGAAACGUGAUUAGCUCCUCAGCGGCCUUUCUUACACAUACACCGACUCGCAGAUAAAGAUGUCGGCGUUAUGGUUUACAGCGUGUGAGAACCAACGGCUCUGUUGUUCAGCAGCAGACAGAGGAAUGACAGCGGCUGCCAUCAGGGACUCUCAUCACAGCCGCCUUUUAUCUGUCAUCAAAAUUAGUGUGUUUUGUGUUGUGUAUUCCCAAGGUGUUAGCGUGUGUGUGAGUAAAGAGUGCGAACACAUUCAGAACCGCUGCUGUGCUUUACCUGUGAAACCUACGCUCAUUUCAGCUCCUUAAAUUCAGCCAAAUAAAUUCAGCUCUCUGUUUCUGCUGGUCCAGAAUAACCCGCAGAUCUGUGGCUGCUGAAAAAGUUAAAGCUCAGAAGUUUGAGCUCUUUUAUCCGUCUCUCAGGAGAAAAUGCUUUUCCAUCCAAUUUGCCGCCAUCCAAUUGUUGAAGCACACUAGCAGAGACUCUCCUUCAUGUUUCUGAAGUAGAAAAUUAACUGCGAGCUGGUGGCUGCUUCAAUUAGUACCUCCGGAAAAAAAAAAGAUAUCAAAUCCUCCUUUUAUAAGCUCUUGAUAACCACUUCAUGUCAACACGGCUGCGCCUGGUUCGGUUAAGUUUGAGAGAAGGUGGACUCCAUCAAGUUAAGAUUUCCAUUUUCAGAUCUUCUUUUAAUUGUAAUCAGAAACUUUAUUCCAACUGAUACUGAGAAAGGACUUCGAUACCAGAGCUCUGUGUAAAUGUUAAAACAGUACUUGAUCAUCUGCAAAUCUUUUUAAAUUGAAUUAAAAAAAAGAAAUACUGCAAAGAUGACGUAAAUGUGCAAAACUUGACGCAUUAAACUGCUUUUUAAAACUUACCAUCAGUCCAUCGCAAACAGGUCUGGGUCCAGACCAUAGACUGUAUAUAGAAUGGACGCCGUCUGCCUCCUCCAUAGGUGAAGCCACUCCGAGAACAGCACCCUCUGGUGACGGGCUGCAGUAUAGGUCAUAAACCCCGCCUCCUUAUGGAGCUGUGGACAAACUUUAGAAAUGAAUGACACAGAAUAUAAAUCUCCCCCCUGGUUGUGAUGUUGACAUGUAGUUACUGUCAGACUGUUUUUGUUCAAGUCCUCUUUUUUCUGUACAGCUCCAUUUUUAAAAGUUAUUAGGGGGUUCAUGUUUUCUAUGAUUGACACUUGAUACAGCCUAUGGGUGUAUGAAGAUUGCGUAGCUCACCAGGGGGAUACGCUGUUUGAGCCGAGUGUCGGCGACUCUCCUGCCGGAUGUGCACAACGCUACUGCACAAGUGGUGAAGUGGGUAUAAAGACAAAUCGCAAAAAUACCGAGAGCUUUUCGGCUUCAAAGACUGAUGGCAGAAGGCGGAACCAAGUCGUCGAUUGUAUAUACAGUCUAUGGUCCAGAUGAGAUGUUGGUGUUUAUGGACAGUAAUUUAGGUGAUUUUGAGCUGAUGCAAUGACUUCCACUAAAGAGUCAUGUCUUUUUUUAACACAACGCUGCCUCCUGGUCAUACAGAACUGUCUUCUGUCUCUCUUGUACAAACAUUGAACAGGUUUCUCCAAAUCUUAAUGAUAUUCUGCACAGUAGAUGAGGGAAACAUUUGCAAAUCUGCGCUAUUUUACUCCCCAGAAUAUUAUUGGCUCUCGCAGUCUCUCACAAAGUGGUUCUUUUUCUGUCCUUUUUAUGUCCAGUUAUAUUUACCUUUUGUUUAGCAUGACACAACUCUUUUAGUUUCAAAAUCUGUUCUUUACAUUUUGCGCAGAGUCCUGACUGUUAUAAGAAGAAAACAGUAGUUUACACUGAAGGAGACAGAGCAGAUCAAAGUGAAUCACAGCUGCUGUUUGUUUUUACUGAGCAGGAGCUGAUGGAGGAGCAGACAGCUGUUGAUCGGUGAUUGACCUCCUUUGUCGAAAAGUGGGAGGGGCACAACCACAGGUGGGUGGGAGGGGAGGAAGGAGGAACCCCCUGCAGAGAAGCCGAUGAUGUUCCCUCCUGCUCUGACAGACACACCGAUGAUUGAAAAGGAUAAAAUGAAGUUUUAUGCAAAGACCAUCACACCUCUGCAGACUGAGUUUCUUCUUCCUCUCUGUCAGCAGUAAAACAGUUAGUGAAGAGUUUAUAUCCAGUUGCUUCCACAUCCUCAUAAGUAAUUCAUCAGAGGAGUAUAUUUAAUCUACCUCUAGCUUAUUCUGUUCCAUCUCUAUCUGAUGUAACCAGAAAUCAUAUUUUAUUGAAGACUUUCUUUCUGCAGAUUUACAUCUCUUUGAGUAAACACUUCUCAGAUCGUGAACUCUCGCUGGAGUCGAGUUUAGUUUGCAGGACAGCGCCCCCAUGCACAGUCAGGGCAUGUGGGUCAUCGAUGUAGAAAAGCGUAUUUACAUUAUGUUUUAUUUUUAGGAUUUAUGAGGUAGAGUUUAAAACAUCAUGCUUCCUCAUUUGCAUGGAUCUCUGACCUUUCUGCAGCUUUCCUGCCACCCGUGCCCCCGCGAAGAGGAGCGAGCUAACAGCCGAGUUUUUAACCAAACAGGAUUUCCUCAUGCCGGUACAGCCGGAGGACCGUGUCAAACUUCUUGUCCCGAUCUUAAAAGUGCCCCGUGGAGUUUUCUUUCACAGAACUUAAAAGCGUAGUGGUAGUUUUCAUGGCCUGUGUGUGCAUGUAUUAUUCAGCUGCAUAUGUCCCUCUGAGAGAACAGCAACACAAGACCUGCAGACACAUCAGAGCUUCAAACCCAAAACAUGGGGAUACGGCCAGACCUAAGUCAGUGCAAACUAUGUCUUUACAGGAGGAGUCAGUGUGGGGUCAUCAUAGUAUAUAACUGCAUGCUAUAAAAGCGGCUUUUCUAGGUUAAAUUUUUGCACAAAGUUGUACAUUUAAAGGUGCAGUACGUGGCGUUUGGUGGCAUUUAUCCGGACAGGCAUAGUAAGGGGUAUAAUAUUCAUAAGUAUGUUUAAAUUAGUGAAUAAACUCCUGUUAACUAAGAAUUGGCAUUUUGGAUCAGGCCCCUUUCCACUCAGGUCACCAUGUUGCACCGCCAUGUUUCUUAAGUAUCACAAAAAGGACAAACUUAGAGGAAUCACACACAUUUGUACUUAAUGUUCUCUGACUGUUUUAACAGUCGCAAACAGUAACGGUUACAGCGGGACAUACUGUACAAAAAGCCGUUUCUAGAGGGGCAGUGACUCAUGUUGCUCAUUUGCUUACUGAGUGACAGCAGUUAAAGAUGUCAGAAUUACAUUAGAGUUGUAAUCAGUCAUGUUACUGACACUUUUGUUUGCUUGUCUAGCUCAUAAAGAGGCAGUGGUAAUAAUUUCAGUCCUCACUAUAGGUUUAGAUAAAAAAUAAUAAAAAAAUCCUAAAGGGAUAUUCCAGUGUACAAUUAAUUUAGGGUUAAACACACCGUAAUACUGAGUUAGACACACCCUCCAGACAUGAAUGUUGCCGACCGCUUGCUUCUCUAGUAAUACACAGCGGUCUGAGGAGCCAUAAACAAACCUUAACCAAAACGCCACUCUAUAGCCACAAAUAAUGCUCAGAACAGCACCUAACUUCAUCAACAGGACAUAGUACUAGACACCAAACAUCUUUUUAACUUUGACUCAUUUGUUAUUUUUUAUGUAAACCUACAGUAAGGACUGAAAUUAUUACCACUGCCUCUUUAUGGGUUAGAAAAGCAAACAAAAGUGUCAUUAACAUGACUGUUUAUAACUCUAAUGUAAUUCUGACAUCUUUAACUGCUGUCACUCAGUAAGCAAAUGAGCAACAUGAGUCACUGCCCCUCUAGAAACGGCUUUUUGAACAGUAUGUCCUGCUGUAAUCUGUACUGUGUGCGACUGUUAAAACAGUCAGAGAACAUUAAGUGCAGGACAAACUUAGUAAAGAGAUGUUUUCUUUAGUCCACCAGGGGCGCCAAACCCAACCCAGGCCAAAAGUUCCCCACAGGAGCUUUAAGGUCAAUCUUCUUUGAGUUGGAGUUUAACUUCAUUUCUUUAACUAAAAGACAGCGGAGUAAAAGAAACCAUCUCUCUUUGUAAAACCCUGGCCUUGGGCAGAGAUGAGGAGUAGACUGCAGAAGGGUUUUUUUUUUUCAGUCCGUCUGCCUGAUUUUAAAGUUUCACACUCACUUUAACACUGAUGUUAAUGUCUCACAAAACCCACCACCACAAAAACAACAACAGCAUGUUUAACUUCAGAGCUCUCCUAGUGCAGCCGUUCAUUUUCUCUCUUUUCUAUCUCUCUAUCUCCUCAUCUCUCUCUCUCUCUCUCUCUCUUUCUCUCCUCCACCUCAGAGGAAAAGUAAUCUGGGAAGCAGAUAUCUCUCACACUCCCCUGAAUAAUGAAUGGGGCUUGGGAGUUCUCCCACACAGUAGUUCAAGCCCCUGAUCAGUAUGCCAAAUACGCGAACACACAUCCCCGCUGUCGCAUUCAAACCUCCUAACUCCCUCCUUUUUGGACCUUCCUUCUUUUAGGUUUAGGUGAGGAUUGGCCCCUCUGUCCGAGUGAAGAGGCCGCGGACCUGCGGACACCUGCUGUGUCGUUUUUCAAACAUAUUCUGACACAGCUUGUGUUUUUCGGGCUUCUCUGGGACUCGAUAGAAGAUACAAGCUUUUCUCUCGCAGCAAAGAUAUACUGCAGCCUCCUUCAUUACUGACUCCACCAUAAGAAGCACUUUGAAGGCUUUCACCAACUGCAUUCCUCCCCUCAGCUGACUUUUCUGGGCUCCAGUCUGGUGGAAUUAUUGAUCAGGCUCCUCAGGGGGUUAGUGUGGAGUUGAAGGGUGAGAGGAGGUUGUGGGGGUUUGUUAAGAAGAGGGAGAGUGGGAGCUGGGAAGUAGUCUUAUGUUCCCUCUGCAGGAGGAAGCCCACCCAGACCCUCACAGAGGCCCAGACAGCUGUCACAUCUGAGCCGGAGUUAAAAAAGAAAGAGACGGUUGGUCCUGAGUUGGAGUUUUAAAACUUUUUCAGGAGGCAGAGCUUCAGAGCUGCUGCAGUCUCUGCGAUUAUUCGGCUUAAUCUGACCUCCUCUGUGUAUUCAAAAUCCACAAAUAAAACUCUUUUCUGAGAAUAAUCCUGCAGGACAGCAAACACUCGCAGCUCAUGUUUGCAUCAUAUUGUUUUCUAUUAAAGCCACGGGUGCUGUCUGAACGCACGUCAUCAAUGAUGCAGGACUCUGCAAACAGCCUGAGUUUAGAGCGACCCGUAACACCUGACAUAUCAUCUGUUAACUAUUCAGAAUAAUGUCAUUAUUAUGAGAGCCAUAUGCAAAAGGCAGAUUUCACUCGAGGCUGAAGUUGCAGAUUCUGCAUAUUUGCACAUUCAUCCAGACCGACUCUGGUUUUCAAAUUCAGUCUUUGUGGGAUGAAAUAGAUGCUGAGUUCACCUGCAGCACCUGAGAAAUAAGGUGAUGUUGAUUUUGCAAUAGGUCCUGGUUCAGAAGUAGCAUUUUAGAGAUUAUACAGGCCUGUUUAGCCUGCAUGGACCCCUCUGACUGGCAAUUUCCACCGCAUCCGCAAGGGCCGCAAAAAGGGCGUAUCUGCCAAUUGUAGCUGAUUGUAGCCAUUCAAGUUAACGUGUCAAUUUCUGUCUGCUUCUUUCCGUUUCGCUGCAGGGUUGCACGGGUUCUUGUUAGUUCUCGCAAUUCCCGCUGUCUGUAAUCAGCCACGAAAUUCGCCUUGCAAACCGAUCUGGUAGGAAUUGGCGUACAGCGAAAAUCACCGCCGUUCAGGAUGUGGUGGAAAUCCUGAGUGAAAGAGUCUGAUCUACGUACAGUGUCGACCAUUACCGUCUCAUUGCUGAGUGCUUAACUCUUUAAUUUUCAUAGUUUGAGCCCCCGCCGCCGACACCUGAAAGUUUGAACUGGGAAAACAAGAUGCAUUUCCAGACCUAUGGGCAGAGCUGUAACAAAGCCUUUCUUCUGGACGGCUAAAGGGAUCAGAGCAGGCUGGACAGUGCUCGAUUCAAUCGUGUCAAAUUGUGCAUAACUUUUAAGAUUUGUACACACUUCUUGGAUUAAAUACAGGCCCUAACUUUGUGCUUUGAGUCCGUUUGCCUCCAAAGUCUUCCAAACAUCCACCCAGCUUUGGUUGACACCUGAUCCAGACUGACUCCUGACCUCGGAGUGUGAGGAGGGUAACAGAAAAGAUAAUUCCUCUCCUGGGGGUUAAUUAAGAAUCACAUUAUUACCAUUAUUUAUCCUGCAGGUCCUCAUUAUACUCGCCUCGUGUGGACCAAUCCCCAGCCAGCCUACGACCGAAGCCUGAGAGUUACAGUAAGAGGAAGGUAGUCGCACAAAACAACAAGAUGACACACACAGAUACACACACGCUGUCCAAACACACCUGCACACACAGAAUUCCCACACACUGAACACACACUCAAUCACACGCUAAAGUAGCUCAACCUUUGACUGGCCCAGGCCGUCUCACUUACAGCCCUCUUGUAAUACACUAAUGUAAAGGAGAACUCCCAGUGUGUAUGUGUGUGUGUGUGUGUGUGAAUGUGUGUGUCAGGGUAGGGCAGGCCCGGGGCCAGACAGACAGACAGGCCGGGCCGGUAUAUAUUUACCCUGACUGAGGGGAGUGGAAGUGAGGGAUUAGUUACAACAACAGGCUGGCGGCUCUGAGACACAACACUGAUGGAGCAGAAGGACACAACAGUGAGUUAUGUUUGUGUGUCUGUUCUGUAUCUUUGAUAGAAAGUGUGUUUGUGGAUGACUAUGAGACAAAACCACUUUAAUGGGUCAGAAUCAAAUCUAGACGCUCCGAUAUCCAAAAGCAAACAUCCAUUUUCAGACUUUUUGAUUAGUCAUAGUGGAAGAAGCACAUGUGGAGCUAAUAACGUGGAUGAUGGUUGAACAGGGAUGUCUGAUCUUAUCGGCUCCCUCUGAGUGCAGCGGGUCAAAAUGCAAAAUGUGAAACCAGAUCUAUAAUGUACCCCCAGAAAUAACCCCAAAGUGGUUCACAUGUCACACAAACUGGAGCUUUUCUGAUCUCGCAGAGGAAAUGACCAAACUUUGAGGCUCCACUAGCGUAGAGCGCCCUGAACGGAAUGUCAAGAGUGUGGUGCUCGAAUCUAUUCCACGCCACUGUGGAGUCCGUCCUCCUGUAUGGCUGCGAAAGCUGGACCCUGACACCCACCCUGCAGAAGUCCCUGGAUGGGUGCUACACCAGAAUGCUAUGAGCUGUUCUGAACGUGGACCAGAACAUCCACAUUACCAACAAGGACCUGUACGGGCAACUGCCGAGGCUCAGCAAGAAGGUAGCAUCUAGGAGGAUGAAAACACCCUCGACUUUCUCUGAGUCUGAAAUGAUCCUAAACUUUAUUCCAAAAAGUGGACAUGACUAUGCAGGGUUGGAGUCGCAGAGUCAAGCGUAGUAAAUUUUGAGAGUUUUUCAGGUCGAGUGUUUUUUAUGCGCUUCUAACUCAGUUAGUCAACGUGACACAAACUCUAAACUUCCAUACAAAACCCUGGACAUUUGAAGGAUUUCAUAAACUCCCCCUGACAAGUCCGGGUAAAAGAGGACACAUGGUCACCCUAAUUUAAAUUCUAAAUCAAAACACGUGGGGUAAGCUAUGAAAGACCAGGCAUCUUGAGCAGAAGUUUAAGAAGUCAAGGAGAAUGAAAAACGUUUGCAGUUUUACUCCUGAUUGAAAAGAGAGUGACCUGAGAAGAUGGUGUGAUGGUAGGAGUGCACUGAGGGACUCUAUAGAAAACAGGAAACAAUAAGAAAGUCUGAGAGAAAGUCCGAGGAAAUAAGAGACAGUCAAGACCAGAAAGCAGAGCCUCUGAAAGCCCCCGGUUUGCUUGUCCUAAACACAAAUGGCGUUCCUGAGGGAGGAACCGGAGCGGUCGAAUGGACCAAUUGGCCCCUUUGACCCCAUAAGUGAGAGAUGGAUAAUGUGGGGGCCAAAGGGCCUCUGGGCCCUGCUGGUGUACUGUUCCCUUUACAAUAUGAAAGCUCAACACACACAUGCACAUCCUAAAAAACACGUGCACUCCCAGGUGUGUGCACCGGGGCGUAGAGGCACAUGUGCACAGACGGGAUCGUAUGCACAGUCAUACAGCAGCACGUAAUGUGUGCAGGCAGGUACGCACACCGCCACAGUCCUCACUGUAAAUAGGUCCAGACAGUGUUUGUUGGUGUUUCUGAUGAGGAAACUGAAGUACAGAGACCCCCGCACCCCCCCUCUUUGUUUUACAGACUGUUCCAGAAAGAAGUUUGGCAGGUUUUCUGUUUCUCCUCGUUAGCGAAGAAUGCGUGUGGUGGUGGUGUUAGCGGCGGUGGGGGCGGCCCGGUGAAGAAUGCCAGACGACUGAGCUUUUCCGUUUUCACUUUUAGACCUGGAACCGUGAAGUAUGUUGAUAUUAGCAGAGUGUUGUUGGAAGUGUUUGGCCCUGGGCACUUCCAAUUUUCAUCUGAGCUUUUUGGGACUUGUCAAAUUAGAGUGACUCCAAGUUUUCAGGAGCAGGCAGGCGGCCAUUUUGCUGCUGGUCAAUGCGCUGCGUCAUGGUUUCCACUUCCUGGAAUUUCGUCUGCUGCCUUGUUCCCCAAAUAAUCACCUCUGUGUAUCUUAAACAAGCAGCCUUGGCACAGGAUCCCGCAAUGGUUGAUUACCAUGAAAACAAACAAGUUUUAAUGAGCCUCGGUUUAUGGCUGCGGACCGCUAAUAUGUGCUCUAGUUUGUUUUGUAAAUGAGAAAAGGACUAAAAGCAAGAUAACGACAAAUAUAUUUAUUCACAAAGAAAGGCUCAAUUUGAGUCAGAUGUCUCAUAAAAACCAUUAACACCUCUUUUUUUCUGGUGAUUCACAUCCUUAAACUGUUUAAAACUUUCCAGGACUUUGGUCGUUCAAAGCUAACCUGUCCAAGUGUGAAAAGCUGCUUAAUAAGAGAGAAAUUAAAUGAAAAUUAAGCACUUUGUCAAUUAAAAUUCAAAACAAAUGUGGGAGAUCAAAUGUGGGAAAAGUAUAAAAAUAUCAUCUGAAACCGACACAAAUCUGUGUCAGAGACACUCUUCUUAUCCAUCAUGUUUGAAUUUUCUAGAACAAAAAAUGUCAAACUUUUAUUUUGAAAUUCAGAUUAAUCUGUUUUAAUUGCAUUUUAAAAAGUUUUAUUUCAUUUUAAGACACUUUUAUUCCUGCAAAAUCAUUCUUAUAAGCAUCUUGAUUUCAGGAUUGAAUGACUGUAAUGAUAUGUACUUAAUGAUUUUGACUUUAACACUUGAUUUGCUGCACCAGUGUGGUCUGAAAUAACGGCAUAUCAAGGAUUACAGCGUUAGGCAUUAAGAAAUAAAACAUGCAAAGAUGAUUCAAAGAUGAUUUUGAGUAUUUAUGAUUUUAGUUUAAUUUCAUCUGCAGGUUUAAAGUGAUUCUCUUACUCCAACAUGGAUCUCUGCAGGCUUUUGUAUGUAUUGAAACGGAACCCUGCAGGUAUAAGUCCUCCGUGUGAGAUGAAACCAGAUCUCCUACAGUGAAGGUUGAUUUCUUUAAACACCUGUUGCUGCUUGAACCUGUUUCUGUAACGUGUUAAUCAGAGCCGUGUGCUUUUGUAAGAGCUCUUAAUCAUUUCUGCAGAUCAACAGAUCCUCUUAUUAUUCUGACAAGCUUAUGCAAAAAAUAUCUCACAGUUUAAUUAACCAUCAGUCAUCAUUUACGGUUAAGUUUAGUCAUAAUUCUUAUCAAAUCUAACCAGGAUUAGAUGCAAUCAAUCGCAAUUUCCACUAAUUAAUUAGAUUAAUUGGCGAAUUUGUGCGUGGGAAACAUUAAAGAUGAAAUCCUGCAGUAAAAAUACAUAUAUUUUCAUCUAAUUAAAGAUGCAGUUUGCAAGAAUCUUAAGCAGUGAAACAUCUCGGAGUGUUACGGAGACUCAAGAGGAAUAAAUAAGUGAAGCUUCCCUGUGAAGAAGUCACCAGAGGACACUGAUUUGCUGCGUUAAAGGACUUUUAAACUGUUUUUUUAGGUCAGGCGCAGAAAAAAAGAAGACAUAUCUUGAAGAUGGUUGUGUCUUUCCCAGAAGUAUUCGGUCGUGGUUAUAUAAGUUGUGUUUGGUCAGGUUGUUUGCCUGCAGAUGAUCAACAAUGUCAGACACAUCAUGUCAAAACAACCCGUCCACUUUCUUCUGAUCCAGAUCCUCCUCAGUGGCUACUGAAUCAACCGACUGCCUUUUGAUGGGGGGAGCGCCGCCGGCACUCGCCGCUGCUCUUGGAAUUGUGGGAGCUGCUUCACAUGGCAUUUUGUGUCAUUAUAUAAUGGAACAGCGGUCUGGCAGCAGCAGUGGCAGGGAUGUCGAUGCUCUGUCUCCAUUUUAGUGUAAGUGAUGCUGCUGAGUGUGAAGAGGUCAGAUCAGCCGAACUGGACAAGCACCGAUUCUGUCAGAUCAGUCGAUAGUUCUGGAUUUCUGUGUUUGGAUACUGAGAGAGGGUGUGAUAGAGAGUAAACAG